UACGGAGGGUGCGAGCGUUGUCCGGAAUCAUUGGGCGUAAAGAGCUCGUAGGCGGUUUGUCGCGUCGUCUGUGAAAUUCUGCAACUCAAUUGUAGGCGUGCAGGCGAUACGGGCAGACUUGAGUACUACAGGGGGAGACUGGAAUUCCUGGUGUAGCGGUGAAAUGCGCAGAUAUCAGGAGGAACACCGAUGGCGAAGGCAGGUCUCUGGGCCACUACUGACGCUGAGAAGCGAAAGCAUGGGGGAGCGAACAGG
rnacentral:rRNA from 1 species